GAUGAACGCUGGCGGCGUGCCUAACACAUGCAAGUCGAGCGGCAGCGAGGGGUGCUUGCACCCUGUCGGCGAGCGGCGGACGGCUGAGUAACGCGUGGGAACGUGCCCCAAAGUGAGGAAUAACUGCCCGAAAGGGUAGCUAAUACCGCAUAUUAUCUUCGGAUCAAAGGAUUUAUCCGCUUUGGGAGCGGCUCGCGUCGGAUUAGGUAGUUGGUGAGGUAAUGGCUCACCAAGCCGACGAUCCGUAGCUGGUCUGAGAGGAUGACCAGCCAGACUGGAACUGAGACACGGUCCAGACUCCUACGGGAGGCAGCAGUGAGGAAUCUUUCACAAUGGGCGAAAGCCUGAUGGAGCAACGCCGCGUGCAGGACGAAGGCCUUCGGGUUGUAAACUGCUUUUAUAAGUGAGGAAUAUGACGGUAACUUAUGAAUAAGGAUCGGCUAACUACGUG
rnacentral:rRNA from 1 species